rnacentral:rRNA from 1 species
AGAAUCAACGCUGGCGGCGUGCCUAACACAUGCAAGUCGAACGAGAAAGUGGAGCAAUCCAUGAGUAAAGUGGCGACCGGGUGAGUAACACGUGACUAACCUACCCUAGAGUGGGGGAUAACCUCGGGAAACCGGGGCUAAUACCGCAUAACAUCGCAAGGGGAAGAUCCUUGCGAUCAAAGAAGCAAUUCGCUCAAGGAGGGGGUCGCGGCUGAUUAGCUAGUUGGUGAGGUAACGGCCCACCAAGGCUUAGAUCAGUAGCCGGCCUGAGAGGGCGCACGGCCACACUGGAACUGAAACACGGUCCAGACUCCUACGGGAGGCAGCAGUGGGGAAUUUUGCGCAAUGGGGGAAACCCUGACGCAGCAACGCCGCGUGGAGGAUGAAGUCCCUUGGGAUGUAAACUCCUUUCGAUCGGGACGAUAAUGACGGUACCGGAAGAAGAAGCACCGGCUAACUCUGCGCCAGCAGCCGC